rnacentral:lncRNA from 1 species
AAGGUUUGCCUUUGGAAGCUCCUUGAUCCUUCUUGAAGAUUGUCUUGAAGUUUUGGCUUUCACUUGAUAUCCAAGACAAAUGUGAGGAUUGAUUUUCCACCUGAUAUGCAAGAACAAGUUUGUGCUCUCUCUCUCAAUGGAGGAAGAAGAAGAGAAUGUCUUGCAUUCUUAUGGGAACCAUAACCCCCCUUAUUAUAACAUGUGAGUUAUGAAACUCAAAGGUCACAAGAAUGUAACCUUGGUUACAUGUAUGUAACCUUAGUUAGN